AUGAACUUCCUGAUGUUCAAGCUGGUUUUAGAGAAGGCAGAGGAAACCAGAGAUCAAAUUGCCAACAUCUGUUGGAUCAUUGAAAAAGCAAGAGAGUUCCAGAAAAACAUCUAUUUCUGCUUUAUUGACUAUGUCAAAGCCUUUGACUGUGUGGAUCACAAUAAACUGUGGAAAAUUCUGAGAGAGAUGGGAAUACCAGACCACCUGACCUGCCUCUUGAGAAAUCUGUAUGCAGGUCAGGAAGCAACAGUUAGAACUGGACAUGGAACAACAGACUGGUUCCAAAUAGGAAAAGGAGUACAUCAAGGCUGUAUAUUGUCAUCCUGCUUAUUUAACUUCUAUGCAGAGUCCAUCAUGAGAAAUGCUGGACUGGAAGAAACACAAGCUGGAGUCAAGAUUGCCGGGAGAAAUAUCAAUAACCUCAGAUAUGCAGAUGACACCACCCUUAUGGCAGAAAGUGAAGAGGAACUAAAAAGCCUCUUGAUGAAACUGAAAGAGGAGACUGAAAAAGUUGGCUUCAAGCUCAACAUUCAGAAAACGAAGAUCAUGGCAUCUGAUCCCAUCACUUCAUGGGAAAUAGAUGGGGAAACAGUGGAAACAGUGGAAACAGUGGCUGACUUUAUUUUGGGGGGCUCCAAAAUCACUGCAGACGGUGACUACAGCCAUGAAAUUAAAAGACGCUUACUUCUUGGAAGGAAAGCUAUGAUCAACCUAGAUAGCAUAUUCAAAGCCGGAGACAUUACUUUGCCGACUAAGGUCCAUCUAGUCAAGGCUAUGGUUUUUCCUGUGGUCAUGUAUGGAUGUGAGAGUUGGACUCUGAAGAAGGCUGAGCACCAAAGAAUUGAUACUUUUGAACUGUGGUGUUGGAGAAGACUCUUGAGAGUCCCUUGGACUGCAAGGAGAUCCAACCAGUCCAUUCUGAAGGAGAUCAGCCCUGGGAUUUCUUUGGAAGGACUGAUGCUAAAGCUGAAAUUCCAGUACUUUGGCCACAUCAUGCAAAGAGUUGACUCUUUGGAAAAGACUCUGAUGCUGGGAGAGAUUGGGGGCAGGAGGAGAAGGGGACGACAGAGGAUGAGAUGGCUGAAUGGCAUCACUGACUCAACGGACGUGAGUCUGAGUGAACUCUAG
rnacentral:lncRNA from 1 species